ensembl:lncRNA cyclic AMP receptor-like protein A
CAAACCCUCUCCUUACCUCCAUCCCAUGACAAAGGUUAUCUGUCAGUCAAUAAUCUGUAAUGCUCCACCUCCUCUUCCUCUGUAGCGUUGUCAGGGUCAUUGUUGGACACAAAUUAUUUUUUAAAUAAGGGCGUGUGUAAAUGCCACAGUCAUCUCUAUAGAGAGCUGGCAUGCAUCGCAACUAUCCUACAUAAAGUUGUGUGUAGCGCACAGACUAUCUGUUUAUUUCAUAUAAGAAUACAAUGACUUUAGUUUGUGUAGCAGAAAUUAAGGAGACUCUCCUCCACCCUGUGAUAUUUGUACAGCGUUGUCCCCAGGGACGCUGUAUGCCAAGCUGUCAGCCACAUCAGUGAUCAUUUGAUUUAUAAUUUGCCCUUCUCUUCUACGUGAAUCUAAAUGUUCUGGCAUAUCUUGGGAUGUUUUGUUAGAGAAUGCCUCUUCAUGUCUUCCUCUCAUUUCCCCCGUACAGAAGAUGAUUCUCAGCCUGACUGUAGCUGCCUUCUUCGAUAGCGUAGCAUAUGUCAUGACUGGAGUGCCUUGGCCUGGGUUUGCCUCAUCACAGUGAACCUGUACCUCAACCUGGUCAGAGAAAUCAGCACCAACAGAUAUGAGAUGUUGUACCAUCUGUUGGCGUGGGGGGUGCCUCUGGUCAUGGCCUCUUUGCCACUGCUAAAGGGUUACUACGGCCCCGCAGGAGCCUGGUGCUGGAUCACAGACGAUCACGUAGCCUGGAGAUUUGGGAUAUGGUACGUGCCUCUGUUCAGCCUCAUCUUCCUGAUGAUCUGCUGCUACGCCAGGAUAAUCUGCGUGGCCAAUGCGAGGAUGCAGUCAUGGUUGGGAACCUUCAACCCAGAGAGAGAGAGACGAAAGGUUUCCUUGGCUGAGGAGAUCAAGCCGUUGAAGUGGUAUCCCUCCGUCUACCUGCUGGUGUCCAUCUUUCCCCUCAUCAACAGGCUCCAUAAUGCCUUCUACCCACAGGAUCCAUCCUUCUCGCUCACCCUGUUGCACGUCCUCUCAGCGCCACUCCACGGCUUGGCUAAUGCCUUUGUCUUUGGCCUUGAUAGGGAUUGGUGGAGUCUACUGAGCCCUACUGGCAUGCAGCUGGCUCUGCAGUCAAGACUGUGUGACAGGACUCUGAUUGGAGAGUACCACCCCGGGGCGGUGCGCUACACACAGGCUGACCUGGUCGACCUCAGCGAUGACGACGACGAUGACACCAACGUGCUCUUCUACUCUCCUGACAUGACCCUGAAAGACCGAGGGCCCUGAGAGAGAGCUGGAGAGAGGGUGGGAGAGGAGAGAGGGCAAGGAGCUGGAGGAAAGGAGCAUGAACAAGGGUCACAGCCAGAGAGAGACGCAGCGGAUUAGAAACUGAGAGAGAGGAACAAGAGGUAGGGAGGGAAUGAAAAGGAAGAUUGGGGGGACAGUCGGGAAGAUAGAAGGCGGAGAUGAGCUGUCAGGUUCCAUUAUUAAUCCCCAUCCUUUACUAUUUAAUAUCCUAAAGACACACACACAUACACACACACACACAUACUGAGCAGAGCUGCAGCUCCCCGCAACACUACCACGAGAGAGGAGCAAGAAACGAUCGGCUCUAAAGAUCCUCCUAAUGUUAAAGGCAUCUGCUGCAUCCCAAAGGUCUUAAAACAAUUUCCCCCUCUCUGCACUGCCUUCUUGACAUUCUGCAGCGUUUUGGCAUACCACAAAAAUGAAAGAGGAAGAAAAAAGCCCAGAAAGAAUGGCUGAAAGGCAAUCAUAACAAGGUGUUAGUUUAGCAUUCACAGCAAUUACCUUUUCACUUCUCUGCAGAGGAUGAAGUGGAAAGCAGGCCUUUUAAAAAAAGCACCCUGUGUGUCAGACGUGAAAGCAUCUAACGCCGUGAUUGAUCCCGGUUCCGAACACUUUUCAAGGGGGAGGUGGGAUACAGUGGAAAUACAGGACAAAUAAGUUCUAAAGGAGUCUCUCCCUCAUCUCACAGUAUUCGUUUUUUCCUGUUUUUUCUCCUUGCACAUGACAUUAUUGUUCUUGCAACUUUCGCACAAGUAUUACUUUGAAACGUUGUUUUUGUAUGAAAUAUUACAUGUGUUUUGUUAUACUGUAUUUAUCAAUGUACGAUAUAUAUUUAAAUGUAUACUCUAUUUUUGUACGUGCCUCGGACUUGAAUGUGAAGUUCGGUCCAAACCUGCUGCUCCUCAGUCGUGCAGAGCCAAUACAUAUAGCCUUAUGGUCUAAAACUAAAAAACAUGUAUUGUUCAUCAGUCAACACAAACACACAUGUGCUCUCUCUGAGGUGCCUGUCAAAACAGGUUGGAAACAGGGACACACACAUGGCAUAGCAACAGCCUUUGAUGGUUCAUCACCUCAUGGCCCUUGUCAGCGGUGCCGAGGUGUGAUUGGCAGGAUAAUAGAGUUGCUUUAUAUUCAACCUCAGCCCAUUUGUUUUUUUCACACAUCGUGGUGGUUUCAUCACUGUCGGUGCGAGCUGCCGGCUGUCAGCUGCCUCUCUGACAAGUUGAACUAAUGAACCCACACUUGACCCUUUCUACCCUUGAGUUUUUUUACUUUUCUGCUGGUCUUCAAAGACGCCAGAGUGCAACUUUAGAUUUGCAGUUCCCACUACUGUAUAACCCACGCACUGUGCCCCUACCCUUUUUUUUGGCACUGUUGCUGAUUUUACUUGACUGUGCACUCCAUCAAAUAAAUGAGCAGGAGAGACAUUUCAUAACAAAGCUGAGCCUGGGCAUGUUUAUUUCAUUUUCACGUUGAUGUAAUCCUUCAUUCCCUGAUGCCACUUUCCCUGCCUCCCCAUGAGGUGUACGUUGUGUGUGGAUGUGCAACUGUCUUUUAGACCUGGGCUGCUUAAAUAAUGGAUAUUAAUUAUUGGCCUGACCCUGCUGGCCUCUACCUUGUCUCCAGAUCUGGUUAACUGUAUUUUGAUUAAUGAAAUAUGGGCGCCAUGCCCUCCAGAAAACUAGACUUUUCCUCCACAGCUCUCCCGCAGACGCUUGAACGUCUCAAGCCCCGCACCCCCUCAAUAAAAAGAGCCCGGGAAAUAAGUGAAUCUGCCUGUCACGCAAGAAGAAUUAUUAUUCCCCCCCUCGUAUCGUCGCAUGCGCCGUAAUUGGAUACAAUUUAACACCCGCGGCCCACGGGCAUGUCGGCAGGCACACACUGCCUACUAUUAGCUCGCCUCGCCUCGCCACCCUAUCAUUUGUCAGAUCUGUGUUUGUGUGCUCCUGGUGCUUGUGUGUGUGUAUAUGUGUGUAUAUGUGUGUGUGUGUGUGUGUGUAUGUAUGUGUGUGUGUUUGCGCGUGUGCAUGUUGCUCGAGAAACCGGAGCCAUUGUUGGAGUCCGGCCAUGACCUAGCUGUGACGCACAGAGAGAGGAAGAGAGAGGA